AGUGAACGCUGGCGGUAGGCCUAACACAUGCAAGUCGAACGGCAGCACAGGAGAGCUUGCUCUCUGGGUGGCGAGUGGCGGACGGGUGAGGAAUACAUCGGAAUCUACUCUGUCGUGGGGGAUAACGUAGGGAAACUUACGCUAAUACCGCAUACGACCUACGGGUGAAAGCAGGGGAUCUUCGGACCUUGCGCGAUUGAAUGAGCCGAUGUCGGAUUAGCUAGUUGGCGGGGUAAAGGCCCACCAAGGCGACGAUCCGUAGCUGGUCUGCGAGGAUGAUCAGCCACACUGGAACUGAGAAACGGGCCAGACUCCUACGGGAGGCAGCAGUGGGGAAUAUUGGACAAUGGGCGCAAGCCUGAUCCAGCCAUACCGCGUGGGUGAAGAAGGCCGUCGGGUUGUAAAGCCCUUUUGUUGGGAAAGAAAUCCAGCUGGCUAAUACCCGGUUGGGAUGACGGUACCCAAAGAAUAAGCACCGGCUAACUUCGUGCCAGCCGCCGCAGUAA
rnacentral:rRNA from 1 species